CACUUAUUAAUAAUGAACUUAUAAUAUUAUGAAAAUAAUUAUCAAUAAUAUUACAGUAAACUUUAAUAAUAACUAAUAAUAAUAGCAAAUAAAGUUUGAAUACGAAAUAGUGAAUAUAAUUUUGUGCUACUAUGUUUAUUUCAGUUCAUUAAGUUUAUGUAUUUAAACUCUUAUAUUGUAAUAUUGCUGUAAUGAAAUUGAGACUUUGGAUCUUGUGUGGAACUAAAGAAAAACAAAAAAAAAACAAAUAAUGUUANUUAUUAAAUUUAUUACAUACAUGAUAUUAAGUAUGUAAUUUAACAAUGAUACAUACUUAUUAAUAAUGAACUUAUAAUAUUAUCAAAAUAAUUAUAAUAUUGCUGUAAUGAAAUUGAGACUUUGGAUCUUGUGUGGAU